rnacentral:lncRNA from 1 species
CCAUAGCUCCUGGGACACGUGAACAGCUCAGCCCAUCAUCUUCCUGCAUGAGGCCCACUGUGCCAAGGACCCACCGAAUUGUUUGAUUUCUGUGUGGAUGUUGUGUUGGCACCCACCCAAGAAGGGUGGUGUGCCAAGAGGUAAAACAUGGUCUCCUGUAUAGAAGAACCUUAAUAAAUGUACCUGGUUUCUAAAAACUGUGCCUCAUGGCAAGAAUGGCUUCUUCACACCCCAUCAAGCUUCUGGCCCCCUUUGCUGAAAGUAGUUUUAUGGACAAGACGCCCACCACCCUGAGAGCGACAGCAUUCCUGCCGUCAGUGUGCACUUUUGAAAUACAAGGAAGCUGUUGUCAACUCCCAAGACCAGUCAACACCUGGAAAAAACAAAUCAUUCUCAAGGCCGAGAAGAGUGCCUUGGCCAUAUCUGACAAAGAAAUGGAACGGUUUGUAUUCAAAUUGGCAGAGCAACCUUCCUGCUCAAAGCCACAGGGUGAUCCCCAGAGUAACAUCCGUCCCGUCAGUGAGGGGAGUUAAACGCUGACAGUGGUAUAAAUGGGUUUCCAUCAGCGCCUACGAUGGAAGCUGUGAGGAUGGGUAAGUGCCCGGCCGACGGCUGAAACACAGCGCCACGAACAGUUCUUAGUGCUUGAGGAGAGGAGUGCUUGUUCAUCAGGUGAACUUUCUUGAAAUGAUGCUGAGGUUGAGGCAGUUUCGGUGGUAAAUUCUGGUGGCAUUUCCAAACGACCCACUCUUGUUAGCAAUCCACUCCACACAGCCUGGCCCCUCCCCAUCAGAAAGCACGGUACAGGCACAACCACAGAACUCCCUCCCCGACGGCAGCGACGGUGACGCAGGUGCGUGGAAAGCCGUUAUUUCCCUUGUUGUACCGAUUUCUAAAGAACGUAACGGUGCAAACGGUUGACGUGUGUUUUAUUCUGGAAAUCGUGGAGCUGCCAGGCUGCUCUCUCCAGUGAUCCGGGGAGAGGAGCUAUGACCGAAUCCCGUUCCGUUCAGUGCUCUUCCUCGUGAGAAUUCAGGUCACACAGAGAGCGUUUUACACUGCCCAGAAGAAGGCGAGCAGGCCUGUCAGCCUCUGAAGACUGGCGCCAGCAGACCUUGAAACCAAGGCAAGGGGAAAAAUUAUAAAUAUUCUUUAUGCCUUUGAGGAAAACUGUGAGGAAUCAAGAGCGAAAGAACGCUUUUCCAAUGUUCCAGUUGGUCUACAGCAGAGCCCUGAAUAAUAUAAGAAGGUGAGGCAGCCCUGCUUUAUAAACAGGAUGCAGACGGUAAAGUUGCUGUAAAUUGGGAUGAGUGUGUAUGCAUACAUGUGUGUGCACACGUGUGUGUGUGUGUGUUGGCAGCAAUUUAAACUUAUUCUGCUUGGGACUGAUCCUUAUUUCACAAAAAAAAAUUUCCUUCCCCAAAAGUUAAUUGAAUGCUACAAAUAAAUUUUCCUCAAAAAGUAUUAUUUUCAUUGUCUUUUUAAAAUUUUUUAUUAUAGUUGAUUGACACUGUUCUGUCAAUUUCUGCUGCACAGCCAAGCGACCCAGUCAUACACAUACACACGUCCUUUUCACAUUCUUACCGUGUAUUCUACCGUAGCACAACAAAUUACCACAGCUUUGUUCACAACCUGCAACUUGGACUGGGGUUGCUGGAGGCAGCUCAUUUCUGCUCCUCGUGGUCUUCAGUGGGGCAGCUCAAAGGCUGGGGGCUGGAGUCAUCCAAAGGGCCACCUGCUCGGAUGUUUGGGGGUAGAGGCUGGUCGUUAGCUAAGAUCUCAGCAGGAGCUGCUGGCUGAGCAACUUAAACAGGGCCGCUUCAAGGAGCGUAGGCUUCCUCAGCACACGGCGGCUGAUGCCAAGAGCGAACGUGCAGGGAAAGAGGUAGAAGCAUGCUGCAUUCUAGCAGCUGGCCUAGGAAGUCACACGGCUUCACUUCUACCACAGCUUGUUCUCUCAUAAAGCCCUGCUCAGAUUCAAGGGGAGAGGAAAGAGACUCUACCUCCUGAUAAGGAACAGCAGGUUUCUAGAAGAGCACACGGGACCAGAAGCCAUGGUCUCCACCUUUGCCAACUCACCGAGACGUUGUCCAUGGCAUUCUAUUGCAUGUCCAAGACACAAGUGCCUGGGGACGACUGUGGAGCCACCAAAACAGAAACACAUCAUUUGAAGCUCCCUCAGCACCCACAGAUCAAGAGGAGAGUGAAGCUGCCACAUGAGAGGGAAAAAAAUCCCCUAGUGUUUGUGUGUGUGUGUGUCUUUUUACGGCUGUACCCACAGCAUAUGGAAGUUUCCAGGCUAGGGGUCGAACUGGAGCUGUAGCCACCAGCCACAGCCACAGCAGCGCCAGAUCCCAGGCCUCAUCUGUAACCUACACCACAGCACAUGGCAACGCCGGAUCCUUAACCCACUGAGCGACACCAGAGCUCGAACCUGCAUCCUCACAGAUAUUAGUCAGGUUCAUUACUGCUGAGCCACGAUGGGAACUCCCCCUUAGUGUUUCUUUAUCCACCCAGAGAAAGGGUACAAGGCAGUUCAAGCUCACAUUCACUAGGAAAUUUAGCAUGAAAACAGAUAUUAUCUCAGAUAUAUGCUAUGUCCAAUGUCCCUGACCAAAGAAAUUAAAAUGAGAUACGCAGUUGGUUUAUAAACUGGUAUUUCCUUUCUGGCACACCGGCUUUGAAACAGCAGGCCAAUGAUUUUUGCUCUGUUAUGUGUUAAAUAUUUUAAUUACAUUUUGAAGUAAGCAGCAUUUCAGAAAGACAAAUAGUCAAAGACAAGGUAAUUAAUUCUUGAAGGUAACCAUUCUAAUAUAUGCAUUUUUCAUAGUGGAAAUUAAUUAUUCUCAAGACAACUGUCUUUUCCCUUGUAAAUUAGGACAUUUCUCCCCUAAUUAGUUUAACUUGCCUGCAGGAGAUUAUCACCACUGAGCUAUGGAAUUUCCUUCAGAAGGUAAUUCCAGCUACCAGAGCGAGGAGUUUAAAAUAGAGCCGAGACUUGGCUUUCAGACUGUGUCUGUUCAGUGGAGUGUAGAAUCAAACAUAUAAAACUCUCUAUGACUAUGUGCAGCUAUUCACCCGUCCUCACUGUAUUAAGAGCAAGCACUCACUAGAAUAACCUGGACACGAGGCCAGUGAAAACGUCUUUUUCUCAUCACACAUCUCUCCUGCCAAACCAGCUCAGGCUAAGAAGGCAGGGUUUCUUUUCCCAUGUGUGGAACUGCAGAUCAUGCUGAGAAGCCAACCAAGGAGGAGACAGCCGUGUGCUCACACCCAAAAUGUGCCCCUCGGACUGCCAUUCAGAUCACAUUCAAUCUAGAACCAUCUACCAGGUUUUUUUUUUUUUUUUUUUUUUUUGCUCCUUGGAGCAGAGCAACACUCCUCUUCCUUGCCAAGCCCAGUUAGAGCAGAAAAAGGGGUAAGACAGAUUCAGACUGUUUGGAGAGACCAAAUAAGCCUCUGCCUGUGUGUUCUGGGAUGGUUCUAGCUCUCAGUUAGCCCCAGCCAUCACCUGUGCUGGACUCUGAAGCCCCCCCGGAGUUGUUGGGCCAUUCAGAGCUGUUUGGGAAUCAUUCCCUUGCUCACCAGCUAGGUACUAUGGUGACGAAGAAAGUGGGCACCUUCCCUGCCUUGCAGAACACACAUUUCAGCAGAAUUAUACAGCUCUCACUCCAAGUUAUGUACAGAAACAGAGAUCAAGAGCACAAAUAUGUAUUGUAAACCAAGGGGCAGUUUUCAAGCUGUUUGGCAGAAUUCUUUCUUUCUUUUUGGCCACACGUGUGGGAUCAAACCCACACCACAGAGCAACCCAAGCCACUGCAGUGACAAUCCACUGUACCACAAGGGAGCUCCCAGAAUUCUCUUCCCAGUUAGUUUCACUGUAAAGACCCUGAGACUGUUGGAGUUAGAUAUAGUUUUUAAAAUCUCUUAUAGGAGUUCCCAUUGCGGCUCAGCAGGUUAAGAACCCGACAUCGUAUCCAUGAGGAUGCAGCUCUGAUCCUUGGCCUCACUCAGGGGUUAAGGAUCAGGCAUUGCUGUGGCUGCAGUGUAGGCCAGCAGCUAUAGCUCCGAUUUGAUUGCUAGCCCAAGAACUUCCAUAUGCCUCAGGUGCAGCCCUAAAAAGAAAAAAGAAAGAAAAUCUCUUAUAGAACAUCUUUUUUUUUUUUUUUUUUAACAAGGCGUAAUCUCCUGCAAAGCCGGGAGCAGGAUGCUCUAACACCUGCAAGCCGUGCUCCUCCAUCAGCCUGCUGCAGGAUAACAGACGAUGAAGCAUUCAGAUCCCAGGCUUACUUUGCUGGGCCUCUAUCAGUUCAUAGGAAUGUGGAGUAAACAUACUGUUGAACAAGCAAAACCAGAAGGAAAUGAUGCUGUUUUUUGGCUCCAAGUACAGGCAACACUAAGCAAUGCGGAUAGGAAUGAGAACAAUCAUCACCCCGGUCUCAAAGGUUUCAAGGAGACGAUUGAGAAAGGGCAGGAGGGGAAGCUCCAGGGUGCUGGAAAUUUUCCAUAGUGUCAUCUGAGGAAUGUUUACGCAAGCGUAAACACAUGGAACACCCAUCAGCCCGUACACUUAGGAUCUCUGCACUUUACUGUAGGUAAGUUACACCUGAACUGGAAAAAUAAAGACUAUGGAAUGGAGAUGAUCCCCAUGAACUGAUAUUUCCAGGAUGAACCAUGCAGCAAAAAUAGCAAAGGGCAAAUAACACUUAGAGGACAUCAUCCAUCACGUACGGAAGGAGCGGAUGUGGGAGGCCGUGGAUGCAUUUGUUCUCUGGCAUUGAAGACACACAGCUGAGACAAAUCGGAAACUCCCUACAGGGGAUGGGUGGGCACCGAGGAAAGACCGUGCAUGGAAAUGGGGUAGAAGGUAUGGGGAGAGUGACACCUCUAUGUGGAUAUCUUUUUGUAUGGUUCUGACUUUUAGAACAAGGUUAAUGUUUCAUUUUCUCAAAAAAAUUAAUAAAUAACUAAAAUCAAGGCCAGUGGGAAUGAGGGGACAGGGACCCAAAAUGGAAUUCAAGCAGUAACACAUGAGCUUAAGCCAAUGACAACUGGAUAACACAGC